CUGGAAAGAAGAAAAAGACAGCCGUGAAAUAUUCAGCUGAUUACGGUGCCACAUGACUGACAGAUACUAAGACAGAAUCAGGAUGAAUAGAAGAGGCCUCUAAUGUCAUCCAUGCUAAAUAGGCUAUUGCAUGCAUGUUGAGGGAGAGAAACUAUAAAUAGAAGGGUGCACAUUAUGCCCCUUACAUGUUGAUGUUCCAAGCAACUGUCUGUUUGUUUUCUAUCUGCCCUGCAAAAACAGCAAACCAUGGAAGAGAGAGAACCUGUUCCAAGUGUCCAUUUGUGGAUUUCUAAUUCCUUGGACACAGCAUAGAGGGAGGAUGAGGAUACUGAAAAAAUCCAGCAGUGCCCACAUUUGAUCCAACCUCCUUGACAACAGCAGAAAUGAGCUGCAUGAACAAAGAUGAGUUUGUUGCUGACCAAGAACUGAAAGCUUUGUUUUGUAAGUCUCUCUGAAUGUAUCACACUUUGC